CCCAAGGUGGUCUCAAAAUCCUAGCCUUAAGUAAUCCACCAGCCUCAGCCUUCUCAGUACCUGGGACUACAGGCAUGCACCACUCUACCUGGUUUGAUUUUUUUUCUUAGUGGGCAGUGAGGGAUGUUGAAGGCUUUGCACAAGGGAGUGGCAUAUUUAGAGUCAUGCACCAGGAAAAUGAGCGUGCAGGGCGAGGGCUGACAUUGAAGGUGACCCUGGAAGUUGGGGCCCUGCUGGACAUGGGUCAGGCUGUGGCGUCCAGCUGUGUGAGAUGGAAAACCAUUCUGUUGUCAUGACUCCAACGUGUCUUUACUUCUCUUAUAGGAAAAUAGUGGCCGAGUAUGAGAAGACCAUCGCUCAGAUGAUAGAGGACGAACAGAGAGAGAAGUCAGUCUCCCACCAGACGGUGCAGCAGCUGGUUCUGGAGAAGGAGCAAGCCCUGGCCGACCUGAACUCCGUGGAGAAGUCUCUGGCCGACCUCUUCAGGAGAUAUGAGAAGAUGAAGGAGGUCCUAGAAGGCUUCCGCAAGAAUGAAGAGGUGUUGAAGAGAUGUGCGCAGGAGUACCUGUCCCGGGUGAAGAAGGAGGAGCAGAGGUACCAGGCCCUGA
rnacentral:sRNA from 1 species